rnacentral:rRNA from 1 species
CCUAUAGCGUAUAUUAAAGUUGUUGCAGUUAAAAAGCUCGUAGUUGAAUUUCAGGCCUGGCUGGACGGUCCGCCCUUCGGGUGAGUACUGUCUGUGGUCGGGUCCUACCUUCUGGCGAAGCGUCAUGGCCUUAACCGGCCGUGGCGGGGAACCAGGACUUUUACUGUGAAAAAAUUAGAGUGUUCAAAGCAGGCAAUCGCUUGGAUACAUUAGCAUGGAAUAAUGGAAUAGGACAAUGGUUCUAUUUGUUGGUUUCUAGGACCGUUGUAAUGAUUAAUAGGGAUAGUUGGGGGCAUUAGUAUUCAAUUGUCAGAGGUGAAAUUCUUGGAUUUAUUGAAGACUAACUACUGCGAAAGCAUUUGCCAAGGAUGUUUUCAUUAAUCAAGAACGAAAGUUAGGGGAUCGAAGACGAUCAGAUACCGUCGUAGUCUUAACCAUAAACUAUGCCGACUAGGAAUCGGGCGAUGUUGAAAAAAUGACGCGCUCGGCACCUCAU